UUUGAUGAACAUUGUUCUUUGCCUGCCUUCAUAUACAUAAAUAUUAAGACUCCAUGCUUGUGAAAUGACAUUAGUGUUGCUAAUGUGAAGGUAUCUUUGCUUUAAUGUAAAUUUCUUCUGCUUAUUGCCAGUUCUAAACAUGUAAUUUCCAAAGGAUACGUUUUCCAUUCCAUCUCGUAGGCCUUUCAAAGUUGGGUUUAGUCCUAUUAAUGUUAAUAACCAGUUCAAAUACAAACUCGAAGUAAAACUGUAAUUUAGAUAACUUAUAUAUUCAGAAGCUCUAACCUUAACGAGUAGGAGAAAAAGAAAUGACGGUCGGCUUAAACUUGUCCAAACAAGCACCAGCUCGCUUAACCUCACUGACUGUCGAUAAAUUCCUGAAAUCCAAGAAAAACCUCUCUAAACCCUCACCAAAGC
rnacentral:lncRNA from 1 species